AAUUAUCUCUCUCAAUCUCUCGAAGUGCUGUAGAGAGUGGUACAAAUACUUUUAAAUGAUGAAUUAAACCGUUAAUGUUGUCUAGAUAUUGUUCAUCAAUGACGCUGACCCGAACUAACUGAUAGGUAACCAUUUAAAGUGACUAAAUAAACAAAGGCACAGCGCAAAAAUCAAAACUAUUGUAAUUGGUACACAUUGUAUUAAUGAUGACAUUUCUACAAGGUAUUGCUUAGGCGUAUGGGCAAGUUUGGUGUGACUGGCAAAAUGGAAUUAAAAGAAGUGAAUUCGAAGGAGAAGGAGAAGAAAACGACUUUCGUGGACUUAUGGUGCAAUUUUAAAGAGAGUUGCACGUUGCAUGGCAUUGGUCAUGUUUCACUGACACACUGCUUCCGAGGGUUAAUCUGGUUUGUUGCUUUUGGAUUCUCCUUUGGAUAUCUCGUUUACCUCCUUCAUGAAGAAUGGAUAAUAUUCAAACAAUAUCCAUUCAUGACAUCGGCCUCCGUAAAAAGGGUUUCUUCCAUCCAGUUCCCGGCCGUUACAUUUUGUAAUAUGAGUCCCCACAACAGAUCAAAGGUUGCUCCCGACCCCAGAGACAAUGACUAUCAUAUGGCUAUCUCCCGCCUGAGCUCAUUAGUUGGUGAAAUCAAUUGGACAGACCCUUAUUACCGUGACAACGGGUAUUUCAGACCAAGGACCAGAAGUGACAUUGUCUACGAGGCUUUGGACAAAUCACAGGUCAUUAGGAGUGUUACAUUUGACAGGGUAGAUGUAACAGGUGAUGUAAAAGAGAAAGUUACCAAAUAUGGAAUGUGUUACACGUGGAACGCUGAUGGAUCAGUCACUACGACCUCUACUGGAAACUCCAUGAACUUCAUUGCCCUUUUGAACGUGAACAACGACCAGAACUAUCAAAGUAUAGACUGCAGCAACGGAUUUAAAGCAACUGUACAUGAUCCAAAUGAACAUCCAGCAAUAGAAGUAAAUGGAUUCCUCGUCCCACCAGGAAGAAUGGCACUGGCAACAAUUUCAAAGACAACUCAUUCCUAUCUUGGUACACCGUAUAAAGCCUUUGGUGAUGAGUACUGCUUGGACACAGCCUCUGAUGAGUUCGUUAACCCUGUACAUCCUUCUCCGUACAGCAUCAAUGCAUGCCAAAAAAAGUGUGAAGCUGAUAUCAUAUACCAGCUCUGUGGUUGCGUCCAACUUGGGACCAUAGUAGGAAAUUACACCAUUUGUUCCCAUUACCAAUACUACCAGUGCUAUUUUAACAGAAGUUUCCAACAAAACACGACGGUUCCAAGUAUAGCCAAAUCUUGUAAUUGUCCGCAGCCAUGUCAACAGACAACUUAUGACGUCAAAGUCUCCACUGCUCUGUACCCGUCAGAGGAAGCAGCCGCCUUUUUGGAUGGUAGAUUUGGAUUCUCGAAACAAUAUGUCAAGGAAAACUUUAUAGAACUUCACAUCUAUUUUGAUUACCUCAAAGUUCAUGACGUGAAGCAAGUACCUGUGUACGCAUCCGAAAAAGACAUCUUGUCAAACAUUGGUGGUCAGAUGGGACUCCUUAUGGGAGCAAGCUUGUUGUCCCUACUGGAAAUCGCCGAGUUUUUAGUAAAUUGUGUGAUGUUUCUGAUUAAGAAAUGUUGGAGUAGAAUGGCCAAUAUGAAGAAAGUCUCGGACGAAAAGGAUUACAGCAAUACAACCCAAAACUGAUCCAUCUUUGAUAAGGAACAUUGUUAUAUAUAUACAGACAUUGUGUUCAUCUUUUUUAAUUCUUAGAUUCACCUAUAAGAGGGCUGAUGGUCUUACAUGACAAUUUUUAUACUAUAUAAAUCUCCUUUAAAAAAGAGCUCUAUGUACAGGAUAGGAAAUCAUUUAAAUUUUUAAGUUAAC
rnacentral:misc_RNA from 1 species